GCUCAACCGUAGUAAGCUCUUGAAACUGGGAGACUUGAGUGCAGGAGAGGAGAGUGGAAUUCCUAGUGUAGCGGUGAAAUGCGUAGAUAUUAGGAGGAACACCAGUUGCGAAGGCGGCUCUCUGGACUGUAACUGACGCUGAGGCACGAAAGCGUGGGGAGCAAACAGGAGUAGAUACCCUGGUAGUCCACGCUGUAAACGAUGAGUACUAGGUGUCGGGGGUUACCCCCCUCGGUGCCGCAGCUAACGCAUUAAGUACUCCGCCUGGGAAGUACGCUCGCAAGAGUGAAACUCAAAGGAAUUGACGGGGACCCG
rnacentral:rRNA from 1 species